rnacentral:rRNA from 1 species
GGUUAAGCGACUAAGCGUACACGGUGGAUGCCCUGGCAGUCAGAGGCGAUGAAGGACGUGCUAAUCUGCGAUAAGCGUCGGUAAGGUGAUAUGAACCGUUAUAACCGGCGAUUUCCGAAUGGGGAAACCCAGUGUGUUUCGACACACUAUCAUUAACUGAAUCCAUAGGUUAAUGAGGCGAACCGGGGGAACUGAAACAUCUAAGUACCCCGAGGAAAAGAAAUCAACCGAGAUUCCCCCAGUAGCGGCGAGCGAACGGGGAGCAGCCCAGAGCCUGAAUCAGUGUGUGUGUUAGUGGAAGCGUCUGGAAAGGCGCGCGAUACAGGGUGACAGCCCCGUACACAAAAAUGCACAUGCUGUGAGCUCGAUGAGUAGGGCGGGACACGUGGUAUCCUGUCUGAAUAUGGGGGGACCAUCCUCCAAGGCUAAAUACUCCUGACUGACCGAUAGUGAACCAGUACCGUGAGGGAAAGGCGAAAAGAACCCCGGCGAGGGGAGUGAAAAAGAACCUGAAACCGUGUACGUACAAGCAGUGGGAGCACGCUUCGGCGUGUGACUGCGUACCUUUUGUAUAAUGGGUCAGCGACUUAUAUUCUGUAGCAAGGUUAACCGAAUAGGGGAGCCGAAGGGAAACCGAGUCUUAACUGGGCGUUAAGUUGCAGGGUAUAGACCCGAAACCCGGUGAUCUAGCCAUGGGCAGGUUGAAGGUUGGGUAACACUAACUGGAGGACCGAACCGACUAAUGUUGAAAAAUUAGCGGAUGACUUGUGGCUGGGGGUGAAAGGCCAAUCAAACCGGGAGAUAGCUGGUUCUCCCCGAAAGCUAUUUAGGUAGCGCCUCGUGAAUUCAUCUCCGGGGGUAGAGCACUGUUUCGGCAAGGGGGUCAUCCCGACUUACCAACCCGAUGCAAACUGCGAAUACCGGAGAAUGUUAUCACGGGAGACACACGGCGGGUGCUAACGUCCGUCGUGAAGAGGGAAACAACCCAGACCGCCAGCUAAGGUCCCAAAGUCAUGGUUAAGUGGGAAACGAUGUGGGAAGGCCCAGACAGCCAGGAUGUUGGCUUAGAAGCAGCCAUCAUUUAAAGAAAGCGUAAUAGCUCACUGGUCGAGUCGGCCUGCGCGGAAGAUGUAACGGGGCUAAACCAUGCACCGAAGCUGCGGCAGCGACGCUGAUGCGUUGUUGGGUAGGGGAGCGUUCUGUAAGCCUGUGAAGGUGUGCUGUGAGGCAUGCUGGAGGUAUCAGAAGUGCGAAUGCUGACAUAAGUAACGAUAAAGCGGGUGAAAAGCCCGCUCGCCGGAAGACCAAGGGUUCCUGUCCAACGUUAAUCGGGGCAGGGUGAGUCGACCCCUAAGGCGAGGCCGAAAGGCGUAGUCGAUGGGAAACAGGUUAAUAUUCCUGUACUUGGUGUUACUGCGAAGGGGGGACGGAGAAGGCUAUGUUGGCCGGGCGACGGUUGUCCCGGUUUAAGCGUGUAGGCUGGUUUUCCAGGCAAAUCCGGAAAAUCAAGGCUGAGGCGUGAUGACGAGGCACUACGGUGCUGAAGCAACAAAUGCCCUGCUUCCAGGAAAAGCCUCUAAGCAUCAGGUAACAUCAAAUCGUACCCCAAACCGACACAGGUGGUCAGGUAGAGAAUACCAAGGCGCUUGAGAGAACUCGGGUGAAGGAACUAGGCAAAAUGGUGCCGUAACUUCGGGAGAAGGCACGCUGAUAUGUAGGUGAAGUCCCUCGCGGAUGGAGCUGAAAUCAGUCGAAGAUACCAGCUGGCUGCAACUGUUUAUUAAAAACACAGCACUGUGCAAACACGAAAGUGGACGUAUACGGUGUGACGCCUGCCCGGUGCCGGAAGGUUAAUUGAUGGGGUCAGCGCAAGCGAAGCUCUUGAUCGAAGCCCCGGUAAACGGCGGCCGUAACUAUAACGGUCCUAAGGUAGCGAAAUUCCUUGUCGGGUAAGUUCCGACCUGCACGAAUGGCGUAAUGAUGGCCAGGCUGUCUCCACCCGAGACUCAGUGAAAUUGAACUCGCUGUGAAGAUGCAGUGUACCCGCGGCAAGACGGAAAGACCCCGUGAACCUUUACUAUAGCUUGACACUGAACAUUGAGCCUUGAUGUGUAGGAUAGGUGGGAGGCUUUGAAGUGUGGACGCCAGUCUGCAUGGAGCCGACCUUGAAAUACCACCCUUUAAUGUUUGAUGUUCUAACGUUGACCCGUAAUCCGGGUUGCGGACAGUGUCUGGUGGGUAGUUUGACUGGGGCGGUCUCCUCCUAAAGAGUAACGGAGGAGCACGAAGGUUGGCUAAUCCUGGUCGGACAUCAGGAGGUUAGUGCAAUGGCAUAAGCCAGCUUGACUGCGAGCGUGACGGCGCGAGCAGGUGCGAAAGCAGGUCAUAGUGAUCCGGUGGUUCUGAAUGGAAGGGCCAUCGCUCAACGGAUAAAAGGUACUCCGGGGAUAACAGGCUGAUACCGCCCAAGAGUUCAUAUCGACGGCGGUGUUUGGCACCUCGAUGUCGGCUCAUCACAUCCUGGGGCUGAAGUAGGUCCCAAGGGUAUGGCUGUUCGCCAUUUAAAGUGGUACGCGAGCUGGGUUUAGAACGUCGUGAGACAGUUCGGUCCCUAUCUGCCGUGGGCGCUGGAGAACUGAGGGGGGCUGCUCCUAGUACGAGAGGACCGGAGUGGACGCAUCACUGGUGUUCGGGUUGUCAUGCCAAUGGCACUGCCCGGUAGCUAAAUGCGGAAGAGAUAAGUGCUGAAAGCAUCUAAGCACGAAACUUGCCCCGAGAUGAGUUCUCCCUGACUCCUUGAGAGUCCUGAAGGAACGUUGAAGACGACGACGUUGAUAGGCCGGGUGUGUAAGCGCAGCGAUGCGUUGAGCUAACCGGUACUAAUGAACCGUGAGGCUUAACCUU